rnacentral:rRNA from 1 species
CUUAAGCCCACGAUCCACACCCAUCUAACCCUAAUCCCCUUUCUCUCCUCCGUUUCCUCCGCCGCCACAGCUGCCCGCGCCCGAUUUCGGUGAUUGCAGCGGCUAUUGCCGGCGCGGAGCACCCCACUGAGCUCGCUUCGCUCGGGUCCAUCCUCCCCUCCGCAAGAUUUCCCCCUCCCGGCCGCUCGCCGAAAAUCCAGUCCCGUGCUAGGGUUUUCUACUCCGGCACACCCUUCAUCGUCGGCGCAUCUCCGGCGGCCUCUGGCAGCUCUUAUUCGUCGUCUAUGGCGCCCGCAGUUGUCGGUCCACCUCGAGCAGGUCGGCGCGGAGGAUCUCCUCCCGCAGGUUCCAUGGACACGGCGCACCCUGCAGUUGCUGGCCCGGGAUGAGGGCGGGCACGGCGAGCCUUGUCCUGCUCGACGACGAUGCCGGCGAACGCCGGUGCUCCUCCUGGUCGACCUCUAAGGAGGAGCGCCAGUACAGCAUCAGCACGCCCUGCGGCUGAACCCCCCUUCUCCACCCAUCCAGUGGCGUACAGAGGAGUUAGUGCAGAAUCAAUAUCAGAACCAUCAGAAGUUCAGGAUUGGACGUGGUGUUAUUUUGUUCCAGUUUCUAGACAGAGCCAUAUAUGUACGUAUAUCUAUGUUAUAUGCAGUAUGCUGGUACAUAUAUCUAUGUUAUAUGCAGUAUGCUAGUAUGUUCAAAUCAUCGUUCCAAUCCAUAUAUACCACAUUAAAAAUGUAUUACAGGCAUCGGCAGUAUUCCAUCUCAAUGCAAGCACAAUGUCUCUCCCUUUGUCAGCUUGACAAACUGCACUUUGCAGUAUCUCUGCUGCUUAGAGCUCUAAGAAGCUUGAUUUUUGUGUAAAAAAAUAAUUCUUCGUGGUUUUAUCCAAAAUUUACAUCCCUUCAAAAGCUUAGCAUAUAUAAGAAUAGGAGUUUUAUGUUACUUCCAUGUUUACAUCAUGAAUGCCAUGGUUUUCAACAUUUUCAGUUGUAUUUGGUAGUGCGAGGUUAGUUGUCCUCCUAUAAAGCUAACAAGUUGUUUAUUGUGCAUGAACUCUUUCUGGUGAACAUUAGGUGAAAAAUGACCAAGCAAGAACAUAUCCAUGAAUUGAGUUACUUAUUCCAUGUAUUCGGGCCUAUUUUUUAUCCUUUUUAGAACAAGACAGUGCAUUCAUGUAUCAGCUACAUGGCAAAAUGUUGUGCUAUCGUUUCUGGAUAAAUGGUGCUUAGGUGGUGUAUAGUCAGUUCCCUUCACUCUCCCUCUCCCAGUUUUACAUUCUUUCCCCAUCUUUUUAUUUCAAAUUGAGACAUUUAUGUCAGUUUUCUGUUCAUUUGCUACAUAACAGUCGAAGGUAGGAGUCGAAGGUAGGAGUUUGUCGUUCUGUGAUUGUAGUUGUAUAUGAUGAUUUGCACCAUGUGUUUUCUUAAACUGUAGAAACUCUCUUACAAAAACUGUGUAUACAGGAGGGGCACAACUCAACUAAAUAGUUCAUUUAGAUGCCUAGUAGAGAGAUAAUAGGAUCCCAACAGCAAUACAAUAUAGUCUGAGUUGUUUUUAAGAUAACUCGGACACCAGUUGGCAGGUUAUGAUAACCGUCGCUUAGAGGCUGAUUUUUUACUAAUAGUUAUUGCUCAUUCAGAAAGGGAGCAUGACUCCACCAAUGGACAUGCACCUUUCCGUCGUUGAAAUUUAAACGCUCGACAUUCUUGUAUUUUUCAUGUAUGUCGUAGUGGAGUCAAAUAUGGCCUCUUUUGUUAGGAAAUUAUAUCUUCGGAUAUUUUGGGUACAUUCCUUGAAUUUUUGCAUCCCAAUCUCUCAGUAAUACUCCUUCAUUAUGUUUCUAAUGUAUUUUGUUUGUUCUAGAAUAAAUCAUAUACUGCAUUUUGCAUCAUUUAAAUGCGCUGGUUCUGAUCAUAUCUCCACUUUUGUCCUGUAUGUUUUGCGAAAUGGAGUAAUUAACUUGAAUUGUUAAUGCGAUUCAGAUCUUUGGCAUGUACAGUUCAUAUAGCUAAUGCCUCCCUACAAAUGACUUUGACCCCACUACAACUGUUCAAAGUUUACAUGCAUAUUGUUUAUGUUGGGUUCACUUCAUAUAGGAGCAAAAUCUGAGAAGUUGUUGCGUUCAGGUUUAUGUGAGUUCUUGGUAUGGCUCCACUUCAACGCUGUUUAGUUGUAAUAUCACGCCUUUGAACGACUUUUUCAUAAUACUUCUGUUGUUACGCAACCUUAGCUGGGCUGCAUUUCUUAUCUGAGUUGUAGUGGAACUUUGUAUGUCAAAUAAGCACAACGGAGUUUAGUUCUUUUCUCCCUACCAACUCUAUUGAUCUAUUACAGUUCAUCAUUACUUUUUGUUGUUGCUGGUUGUUUCUUUUCACAUGUUCGAUUAAGUUUGUUGCACUAGUUUGCAUCCUGGGAGUGAAAAAAUAUCGUGAUAAUGUGUAAGCUACUUCUAGUUUUACCUACUAGCUAUUACAUCUUAUAAUGUGACGUAAUUUUCAUAAUGUGGCAGAUAUUGGUUUAUGGGAGCAGUUUCAACCACAACGACAUGUGUUUUGAUGACUUCGGUGUGCAGCCAGAAACAUGGGAUCACCCAUAGUUGUUGUUUGAUGAGAGUUGGCCUUGCUGAUUUGGGUGGUACUGCCUGGAGAGUAGCAUAGUGUUCUUUGAGACGUGCUUGUAAAAUUAGUGUUUUCUGGGUCUUCCUUUUGCUAUAUAUUUUUGGUGUAUAUUUGUAAUUUUCUUUUUUUAGAAAUGAGCAUAUAUUUUUCGGUAAACUCUUAAUAGCCUGAAAUUUCCAUGGACCAAGAGAAAUGAUUGAUGGGCUGAUGUCUUUGGAUUGAAAUUCG